rnacentral:rRNA from 1 species
UGGGGAAUAUUGCACAAUGGGCGCAAGCCUGAUGCAGCCAUGCCGCGUGUAUGAAGAAGGCCUUCGGGUUGUAAAGUACUUUCAGCGAGGAGGAAGGCGUUGUGGUUAAUAACCGCAACGAUUGACGUUACUCGCAGAAGAAGCACCGGCUAACUCCGUGCCAGCAGCCGCGGUAAUACGGAGGGUGCAAGCGUUAAUCGGACUUACUGGGCGUAAAGCGCACGCAGGCGGUCUGUCAAGUCGGAUGUGAAAUCCCCGGGCUCAACCUGGGAACUGCAUCCGAAACUGGCAGGCUAGAGUCGUGUAGAGGGGGGGAGAAUUCCAGGGGUAGCGGUGAAAUGCGUAGAGAUCUGGAGGAAUACCGGUGGCGAAGGCGGCCCCCUGGACAAAGACUGACGCUCAGGUGCGAAAGCGUGGGGAGCAAACA